AGACUCAAUCCCUCGGGUUUCCGAGGAGAUUGGACUUGGGUGUUGCCGCUCUGCCGGCUCGCCUUAAAGACUUAGCGGGAUAGCACCGUAGUCAGCGUAAUAAGUUUCGUCGGUGAAGGUUGUGAUGACUGCUUACAAUCGCCUUCGGGCAAUUUUUGA
rnacentral:misc_RNA from 1 species